CCCGCCCGCCGGCGGCUCCCGCACCCUCUGGCCGGCGGCCUGAGCACCUGCAGCGCGUAGGUGGACGUGCGCGAGCCGGGCCAGACUGCCGGGAGCCGGACUCGAGCGCGGGGCGUUCGAGAGGCGGGGUCAAGCCGUGCGUCCCGGCCCCGGGGCGUGGCCUCGCGCAGGUGCGCCGAGCGGCUCGGGUUUCACUGAAACUUAUCCAGGUCCCGAGAGGCGCCAGGAGAGAGUUGGAUUGGCGCAGGUGAGACCGCGGCUUCUUCGCCGAGCGGCGAGUGGGACUCCGAGUUUCGAAUCACUUGCCGGCGAGUGCCCUGCCCGCCCGACGUCGGGGCUGCAGGAAGGAUGCGUGGCAUAAGCGCGGCGUGGCUGCUGGGGGGCGCCAUCCUGCUGGCGGCCUCCGUCUCCUGCAGUCCCACCAUCCAAGGAACCAAUAGAACCUCCAAAGGAAGAAGUCUCAUUGGUAAGAUUGAGAGCUCCUCUCAGAUCACUGGGAAAGGAGUUACCGUGGAACCAGGCUUUUCUGUGGAUGAGUUUGCUGCCUCCGUCCUCACUGGAAAACUGACCACCGUCUUUCUUCCAGUUGUGUACACAAUUGUAUUUGCUAUUGGUUUGCCAAGUAAUGGCAUGGCUCUGUGGGUCUUUCUUUUCCGAACAAGGAAGAAGCACCCUGCUGUGGUUUACAUGGCCAAUCUAGCCUUGGCAGACCUCCUCUCUGUGAUCUGGUUCCCUCUGAAGAUUGCAUAUCACAUACAUGGCAACAACUGGAUUUACGGGGAAGCUCUUUGCAAAGUACUCAUUGGCUUUUUCUAUGGCAACAUGUACUGUUCCAUUCUCUUCAUGACCUGCCUCAGUGUGCAGAGGUAUUGGGUCAUUGUGAAUCCCUUGGUGCACCCCAGGAAGAAGACAAACAUUGCCUUUGGGCUCUCGCUGGGAAUAUGGCUGCUGAUUCUGCUGGUCACCAUCCCCCUGUAUGUUGUGAGGCAGACUGUGUACAUUCCAGCCCUUAACAUCACAACCUGCCAUGAUGUAUUGCCUGAGGAGGUGUUGGUAGGGGACAUGUUCAAUUAUUUCCUCUCUCUGGCCAUCGGAGUCUUUCUGUUCCCAGCCUUCCUCACAGCCUCUGCCUAUGUGCUGAUGAUCCGAACACUCCGGUCUUCUGCGAUGGAUGAAAACUCGGAAAAGAAGAGGCAGAGAGCCAUCAAACUCGUUGUCACCGUCCUGGCCACUUACCUGAUCUGCUUCACUCCUAGUAACCUUCUGCUUGUGGCCCAUUAUUUCCUGAUUAAAACCAGGAGCCAGAGCCACGUCUAUGCAGUGUACAUUUUAGCCCUCUGUCUUUCCACACUCAACAGCUGCAUUGACCCCUUCGUCUACUACUUUGUUUCCCAAGACUUCAGGGAUCACGUGAAGAACGCGCUCCUCUGUCGAAGUGUCCGUACUGUGCGGCAGAUGCAGAUAUCCCUCACAUCACAGAAGUUCUCCAGGAAGUCCAGCUCUUACUCUUCGAGUUCAACCAGUGUUAAGACCUCUUACUGAGUUAUUCAGCGUGUCUGUAAAACCACGGGGGGAUGUGGAACCUGCGUAAUGUACGGGUGUGUUUCUGUUGUUCUCUGACCCAGUGGAUCUCACCACACACCAUGUAUAUGGAGCACCUCUGAGGAUGGCUAGAAGCUCCCUGUUACCAUGAGGGAAGUCUCUCAAAUCAACCAAGAUGGCAGUUUCAGAAUUCCUCUCCUCAGGUGCUCCCGGAAAUGGAACUAACAGAAGCAGACUUCUCAGAAGGCAGUGAGAAAACAGAAGCUCAGGGUCACUAGUUCUUACUAGCGCUGACGUGAAGGCAUAGUUCGUAGGAGAACCUUACAGCCGUGUGGGAGCUUCCGUGUCCUCUGAGAUGAGCAGUUCAAGGGACUGACUGUACAGAUUGAGGAAAGUGAGGAGGUGAAGAAGCUAUGCGAGUCGGCGUUGCUUCCAUUCCAACUGGGGACAGCGGUUAGGAUUGGACUGUAGACUUACAGCGUUCAGUGGGGUUCUUCUACACCUCCUGUGGAUCUUGUUUAAAAAUGGGGGUUCGUCAGACUCAGGAAUGAGAGGGCUCAGGGUCUGAGGUAACUGCAUUUUAACAGGAUUCUGCCAUGCACACUCGGGCUCACCCAGGUUUGAGAACCGCCGGUCUGGGUCCCAAGGGAGAAGCAAACUGCUGUGUGUCUCUUCUGUGAGAAUACAUUGAAGAUUUGAAAUGUGGAAACACAAAGUUUGUGUAACUUUAUAUCGACUCAAUCUUCAGGUGAUCUGAGAUAUAGAUGGUUUCAGAGUGAGAGGGGAUUUUACCACUUAGUGUUUUCUAGAAUUAUAGUUGAACUAUUUAUUGUUAGUUUUUUUUUUUUCACUUGCUACAAAUACGAAAUUGUAAUGCCUUCACUAUAUUUGAACCACAUCUGUUUGGAAAAGAAUGCGAAAGAGAUGUGAUUUGUAAUAUAUUUAGGGGGUACAUAUUCCAAACUGAAUUUGUAUAACUUGUAUUUGUGAAUUUUUGGAAAUAAUCUCAUUGUAAUGAUUGAUUUAUAAAUAACACAUGACCCCUUUUUUUUUUUUUUUACAACUUAUUUUUGAGUUGUGUGUUUUGUGGGUUUUUUAAAGGAGGGUGUGGGAAACGGGAAGCCCCAGCAUCACUCCUAUAAAAAGCAAUGUGAUGCUCACGCCAUAUUUUCCUAGGUAAAUAGGGCCAAUAUAGUACAUAUUGCUUGAUGACAGUUGUUUUCACAUAACAUUUUAGAAUUCUUCCAUUCACUGUUCAUUGACCUCCAUUUUUCAUGGAUACAGACUCUAAUUUGGGGAUAUGUUAAGAUGUAUUUAGCCAUUCCCCUAGCAAUGUCUCCUGAAGUCUCUCUCUUUUUGUUUUUAUUGUUGUUAUUAAAACGGUGCUGCACUGGACAUCUGUGUAGACAUGUUUGUGAGUAUUUCUGUAGGAUAAGUUCCUAGAAGUGGAAUGACCAGGUCAGAAGUCAGAUUACCAUUUUAAAUUUUGGUAACUCUUGCCAAAUUGCCUUCAGUAAUUUAUAUUUCAAUCAAAAUAGUACAUUUGCACCUGUUUCCUGAAAUGCUCAUCCAUAUUUAGUCUGUCAGUCUUUUACAAUUUUGCUAAUCUGACUAGAAACAGAAUCUUACUGUCCUAAUUUGUAUGGAAGCAGCAUAGCCUCGUGGAGAAACAGAGCUGACAUCUGACCCCCUCAUAGUUGGUUUCAUGAGCUAAGGGAAGAUCCUUCUCUGUGCCUUAGUUUCUCAGUUGUAAAAUGAGGAUAACGGUAUUUUCCUUACAGAGGUACAAGGAUUAAGUGUUUGGCACAUGUAUGCACUUGUAAAUACCAUGGAGCACUGUGACUUCCUCUCUUGACUGCUGAUGAGAUGUCAUUUCUGCUUCGCCCCCCCUUCCCCUUUCAGUGCCUGUUUAUACGCUUGCCUUCCCUGAACACACUGCUUGGUGUCUCAUAGCAGGCUUGGGUUGUCUUCAUUUUAUAGGAAUUUGGGAGCUGUAUAGCUCUGGUUGUGACUUGGAGCUUCCCAAAAGGUCAUACUGCAGUCAUGUGAAGACUUGACUCUGGCUGGAGGACCCCCUUCUAAGGAGGAUCCCACAUGCCUGUUGGGUUGGUGCUGCUUGUUGGCUGGAGGCCUCUGUUGUUUGCCACAUGGAUCUCUCCGUAGGGCUCCUUGGGUGUCCUCACAACAUGGUGACUUGACUUCCCCGAGAGCGCAUGGUCCAAGAGGAAGCAAAGCAGAAGCUGCAAUGUUUUUUGUUUGGAGGUACUACUGCUAUCCCAUUUAUACUGGCUGGGAAACAGCGUGGUAAGUGACGAGCCCAGGAUCACCCAGCAAGUUCACGGCAGAGGUGACAGCUGAAGCCAGGGAGUCCCAGUGUCUCGGCAGCACAAUCCUGCCUCUCACCU